UACGAAGGGGGGCUAGCGUUGCUCGGAAUCACUGGGCGUAAAGGGUGCGUAGGCGGGUCUUUUAAGUCAGGGGUGAAAUCCUGGAGCUCAACUCCAGAACUGCCUUUGAUACUGAGGAUCUUGAGUUCGGGAGAGGUGAGUGGAACUGCGAGUGUAGAGGUGAAAUUCGUAGAUAUUCGCAAGAACACCAGUGGCGAAGGCGCUCACUGGCCCGAUACUGACGCUGAGGCACGAAAGCGUGGGGAGCAACAGG
rnacentral:rRNA from 1 species